rnacentral:RNase_P_RNA from 1 species
AACGGCAGCCGCUCUAUCGCCGGCAGAGCAAUCUGCGGGAGGAAAGUCCGGGCAGCGCAGAGUCGCCAUACUUCCUAACGGGAAGGGGUGCGUCGUCGCAAGAGUCGCACCACAGAAAGUGCCACAGAAAACAAACCGCUUUAUGCAGGUAUGACGCCUGCAAAAAGUAAGGGUGAAAACGCGAGGUAAGAGCUCACGACAUUUUGCAGUGAUGCAUAAUGGUGGUAAACCUUAUGGGCUGAAAAACCAAAUAUACCGGCAGUUAAGGAUUGACUCGUCCGUUGUCGGGGGGUAGGUCGAUUGAGGCAUUCGGUGACGGAUGUCCUAGAUUAAUGAUAGAGAAUUGCUUGUGCAAUUACAGAACCCGGCUUACAAGCUGCUGUUUCUU